UACAGAGGUCUCAAGCGUUGUUCGGAUUCAUUGGGCGUAAAGGGUGUGUAGGCGGCGCCGUAAGUCGGGUGUGAAAUUUCGGAGCUUAACUCCGAAACUGCAUUCGAUACUGCGGUGCUUGAGGACUGGAGAGGAGACUGGAAUUCAUGGUGUAGCAGUGAAAUGCGUAGAGAUCAUGAGGAAGACCAGUGGCGAAGGCGGGUCUCUGGACAGUACCUGACACUGAGACACGAAGGCCAGGGGAGCAAACGGG
rnacentral:rRNA from 1 species